AGGAAGGAAAAAAGCCCACUGGACUGCUUGCAGCUGCAUUUGAGUUUGUCUAGAAUAAUGAGGGUAUUUCAUUCCUCAAAGACUCCAGCAUCCUAUUUCCAAAUACUUUUUUAAACAAUUGUGAAUGCCAAUAGUCAUUUAAUUUUUACUAUGUAUUGCAAAUAAUUAAUUCGGGGGGGGGAUUAUUUAUUUAUUUAAAGGAAGGAUGUUGCCAUUUCUGCAUUGACUCAUUUCAACAUUUUCAGUCAACCAAAUGCUUUUCAGUAGAACCUAAAGACAUCUCCUUAUUUAGCUCUGCAUAUUUGAGUGCACAGGAUGUUGAAUGUUAGCACACAUGGGCUGGACACAGCUGGGAGUACAGCUUCAAGCCACUUUUCUACCCUGAAUAACUAAAGAAAGCACAAAAGAAAAUUUUCAGUGCAACUUACCCAGUGAAAGACCCACAGAAUUAAUAAUUAUAUCCUCCUGAUGUUGAGGACAUGGGAAAUGAGGCACGUAAAAUGGAAGGCCUUUGUUUCUGGAAACACUUGUGUGCAUUGGAUAUGUACUCCUGGUAUGUCUUGGAGCCUGCCACUGGGGUGAGUUUGAAUUACUAUUUUGUUCUUGGCUGCAAAGACACUGUGACCAAUAUCUUCCCCUUGAGAGAUACACGGUCAAAUCUCUGGAUACAGAAGAUGCUUGGCAACCC